rnacentral:ncRNA from 1 species
AUAAAAUCAAUGACCAGAAGAAGUAGCCUGAGCGUACUGUCCUACAGAGAGCCGGCGGCGGUGAGAUGCCGGCAGAUAAGUGACAGGUGAAUGGAUCUGUGAGAUGCAAAGCGAACACGGAAACGUCAGUAGCGGAUGCCGUAUUCUCUACGUGACAGGGAAAGGAUAUAGAUUUUAUGAUUGUAUCCGACAGAGGCCGCGGGGUUCUGCGGUGAAUUAGGGUGGCACCACGAGUAUAUUCGUCCCUGAC